CACGCCGUAAACGAUGAGUGCUAGGUGUCGGGAGUCAAAUCUCGGUGCCGUAGUUAACGCAAUAAGCACUCCGCCUGGGGAGUACGUGCGCAAGCAUGAAACUCAAAGGAAUUGACGGGGACCCGCACAAGCAGCGGAGCAUGUGGUUUAAUUCGAAGCAACGCGAAGAACCUUACCAGGACUUGACAUACUAGUGCUCGGUGUAGAGAUACACCUUUUUCUUCGGAAACACUAAUACAGGUGG
rnacentral:rRNA from 1 species